rnacentral:rRNA from 1 species
GACGAACGCUGGCGGCGUGCUUAACACAUGCAAGUCGAGCGGUAAGGCCCUUUCGGGGGUACGACGAGCGGCGAACGGGUGAGUAACACGUGGGUGACCUGCCUCUAGCUCUGGGAUAAGCCCGGGAAACUGGGGUCUAAUACGUGGAUAUGACUCCAUGACGCAUGUUGUGGGGUGAAAGCCUUGUGCGGCUAGAGAUGGGCCCGCGGCC